rnacentral:lncRNA from 1 species
UUUCAAUUUUUAUCGGUGUUUGACUGAUCUAGAGAUAGUGAAAUUGAAUUGGCAUAUAAUCGAUCUAGAAAUAGUUGGAGCUGGUCGAUGUUUGGUAGAUCGAGAGAUGGUCACUCAUGGAUUUUGAUCCGAUCGGUAUCUAGCUGAUUUAGAGAAUGAUCAGAUCUGAUCGGCAUCUGAUCGAUUUGAAGAUGGUUGGAUCUGAUCGAUAUUUGAUUGAUCGAGAGAUGGUCGCUCUCUAAUUUCAAUCAGGUUGUAUCUGGUCAAUCUUUAGAAUCAUCGGAUUUGAUCGGUAUUUGGCCAAUCUAGAGAUAUAUGAUUGAAUUUAGUCGGCGUCUGGUC